AUGAUGACUCUCGGCAAUCGAUAUCUCGGCUCUCGCAUCGAUGAAGAACAUAGCAAAAUGCGAUACCUGGUGUGAAUUGCAGAAUCCCAUGAACCAUCGAGUCUUUGAAUGCAAGUUGUGCUCGAGGCCACCCGAUCGAGGGCACGCCUGCCUGGGCAUCGCGC
rnacentral:rRNA from 1 species